rnacentral:rRNA from 1 species
UGGGGAAUAUUGCACAAUGGGGGAAACCCUGAUGCAGCGACGCCGCGUGAACGAAGAAGGUAUUCGUAUCGUAAAGUUCUGUCCUAUGGGAAGAUAAUGACAGUGCCAUAGAAGAAAGCUCCGGCUAAAUACGUGCCAGCAGCCGCGGUAAUACGUAUGGAGCGAGCGUUGUCCGGAAUUAUUGGGCGUAAAGGGUACGCAGGCGGUUUAAUAAGUCGAAUGUUAAAGAUCGGGGCUCAACCCCGCAAAGCAUUGGAAACUGAUAAACUUGAGUAGUGGAGAGGAAAGUGGAAUUCCUAGUGUAGUGGUGAAAUACGUAGAUAUUAGGAGGAAUACCAGUAGCGAAGGCGACUUUCUGGACACAAACUGACGCUGAGGUACGAAAGCGUGGGGAGCAAACAGG